rnacentral:rRNA from 1 species
UACGUAGGGUGCAAGCGUUAAUCGGAAUUACUGGGCGUAAAGCGUGCGCAGGCGGUUGUGUAAGUCUGGUGUGAAAUCCCCGGGCUUAACCUGGGAACUGCACUUGUGACUGCACGGCUUGAGUGCGGCAGAGGGGGAUGGAAUUCCGCGUGUAGCAGUGAAAUGCGUAGAUAUGCGGAGGAACACCGAUGGCGAAGGCAAUCCCCUGGGCCGGCACUGACGCUCAUGCACGAAAGCGUGGGGAGCAAACAGG